GAUGAAGAACGUAGCGAAAUGCGAUAAGUAAUGUGAAUUGCAGAAUUCAGUGAAUCAUCGAAUCUUUGAACGCACAUUGCGCCCGCCAGUAUUCUGGCGGGCAUGCCUGUCCGAGCGUCAUUUCAACCCUCGAACCCCUCCGGGGGGUCGGCGUUGGGGAUCGGCCCUGCCUCUUGGCGGUGGCCGUCUCCGAAAUACAGUGGCGGUCUCGCCGCAGCCUCUCCUGCGCAGUAGUUUGCACACUCGCAUCGGGAGCGCGGCGCGUCCACAGCCGUUAAACCCCCGACCCCCAUGAGUUUGACCUCGGAUCAGGUAGGAAUACCCGCUGAACUUAAGCAUAUCAAUAAGCGGAGGA
rnacentral:misc_RNA from 1 species